GACGAACGCUGGCGGCGUGCUUAACACAUGCAAGUCGAACGCUGAAGCUCAGCUUUUGUUGGGUGGAUGAGUGGCGAACGGGUGAGUAACACGUGAGUAACCUGCCCCCUUCUUUGGGAUAACGCCCGGAAACGGGUGCUAAUACUGGAUAUUCACUGGUCUUCGCAUGGGGGUUGGUGGAAAGGGUUUUUCUGGUGGGGGAUGGGCUCGCGGCCUAUCAGCUUGCUGGUGGGGUGAUGGCCUACCAAGGCUUUGACGGGUAGCCGGCCUGAGAGGGUGACCGGUCACAUUGGGACUGAGAUACGGCCCAGACUCCUACGGGAGGCAGCAGUGGGGAAUAUUGCACAAUGGGCGCAAGCCUGAUGCAGCGACGCCGCGUGAGGGAUGGAGGCCUUCGGGUUGUGAACCUCUUUCGCUCAUGGUCAAGCCGCAACAAUGGUUGUGGUGAGGGUAGUGGGUAAAGAAGCGCCGGCUAACUACGUG
rnacentral:rRNA from 1 species